AUUGAACGCUGGCGGCAGGCCUAACACAUGCAAGUCGAACGGUAACAGGAAACAGCUUGCUGUUUCGCUGACGAGUGGCGGACGGGUGAGUAAUGUCUGGGAAACUGCCUGAUGGAGGGGGAUAACUACUGGAAACGGUAGCUAAUACCGCAUAACGUCGCAAGACCAAAGAGGGGGACCUUCGGGCCUCUUGCCAUCGGAUGUGCCCAGAUGGGAUUAGCUAGUAGGUGGGGUAACGGCUCACCUAGGCGACGAUCCCUAGCUGGUCUGAGAGGAUGACCAGCCACGCUGGAACUGAGACACGGUCCAGACUCCUACGGGAGGCAGCAGUGGGGAAUAUUGCACAAUGGGCGCAAGCCUGAUGCAGCCAUGCCGCGUGUAUGAAGAAGGCCUUCGGGUUGUAAAGUACUUUCAGCGGGGAGGAAGGGAGUAAAGUUAAUACCUUUGCUCAUUGACGUUACCCGCAGAAGAAGCACCGGCUAACUCCGUG
rnacentral:rRNA from 1 species